rnacentral:rRNA from 1 species
CAGCCGCCGCGGUAAUACGAAGGGGGCUAGCGUUGUUCGGAAUUACUGGGCGUAAAGCGCACGUAGGCGGAUAUUUAAGUCAGGGGUGAAAUCCCGCAGCUCAACUGCGGAACUGCCUUUGAUACUGGUAUCUUGAGUAUGGAAGAGGUUAGUGGAAUUGCGAGUGUAGAGGUGAAAUUCGUAGAUAUUCGCAGGAACACCAGUGGCGAAGGCGGCUAACUGGUCCAUAACUGACGCUGAGGUGCGAAAGCGUGGGGAGCAAACAGGAUUAGAUACCCCUGUAGUCCCUGUCUCUUAUACC